rnacentral:rRNA from 1 species
UGGCGGACGGGUGAGUAAUGUCUGGGAAACUGCCCGAUGGAGGGGGAUAACUACUGGAAACGGUAGCUAAUACCGCAUAAUGUCUGCGGACCAAAGCGGGGGACCUCCGGGCCUCGCGCCAUCAGAUGAACCCAUAUGGGAUUAGCUUGUAGGUAAGGUAACGGCUUACCUAGGCGACGAUCCCUAGCUGGUCUGAGAGGAUGAUCGGCCACACUGGGACUGAGACACGGCCCAG